GAUGAACGCUGGCGGCGUGCCUAAUACAUGCAAGUCGAGCGAACGGACGAGAAGCUUGCUUUUCUGAUGUUAGCGGCGGACGGGUGAGUAACACGUGGAUAACCUACCUAUAAGACUGGGAUAACUUCGGGAAACCGGAGCUAAUACCGGAUAAUAUUUUGAACCGCAUGGUUCAAAAGUGAAAGACGGUCUUGCUGUCACUUAUAGAUGGAUCCGCGCUGCAUUAGCUAGUUGGUAAGGUAACGGCUUACCAAGGCAACGAUGCAUAGCCGACCUGAGAGGGUGAUCGGCCACACGGAACUGAGACACGGUCCAGACUCCUACGGGAGGCAGCAGUAGGGAAUCUUCCGCAAUGGGCGAAAGCCUGACGGAGCAACGCCGCGUGAGUGAUGAAGGUCUUCGGAUCGUAAAACUCUGUUAUUAGGGAAGAACAUAUGUGUAAGUAACUGUGCACAUCUUGACGGUACCUAAUCAGAAAGCCACGGCUAACUACGUG
rnacentral:rRNA from 1 species